CUGAAGUCUGGAGGUGGCUAAAAACUCUUACCAGCCAAAGAAGAAUAUUUGAGGCACCCAGUUGGAGAAUACGAUGUUUAUGACUUGCAGAAGAGAACUCAUUUGCCGAUUGAUUUCGCCAGUUUUUCUUGCUUUUUAGUCACAAUUUUUCUUAAGGGAACAAACUAUUGGUAUACAUGUAAAAUUGCUUUCAUUAAAGAUGGUGACCACUGGAGUCUUCACUGACUCUAUUUUUCUUGUUUCCCAUCUUUAACUGCUGUGGUUUGAAG
rnacentral:misc_RNA from 1 species